CACAUUUUAAUAUUGUUUCAAUUCGGUCCAUGUUGCUGCGCAACUUGUUGGAGGGUGGGAUUAAUUUCCCUUUUGAUCCUCCACUAUUAAUUGCGUAUUCUAGUUGGGCCAUUUGCAUUUUAUUUAUUUCAAACUUGCCCCAAAUUUCUGUUUUAAGUUUAAAUUAGUUAUUUUUGUUAUUAUUUCGAUUAAAUUAGUUAAUUUCAAUAGUAUUAUCAUUAUUUAUUAUUAUUAUUAUUAUUUCUAUACAUAUACACACGCAUAUUUUUUAUAAUAUAUAUAUUUUAAACUUUUUUAAAUACAUGUACAUAUUUUAUAUAUGUAGGGCCCAAUUUCUGCUCGGCCUGUUAAAUAAAAAAAAACCAAAUAGAAACAAAGGCUAAUGUUUCAGUCCAAUUUUGUUACAAAUCCAAUAACGGGCCCAAUAGCUAAUUCCUAACCCAUGCCCGAAAUUAAUGGAAAAGGAAGGGUUAGGAAACCCUUGCAUCAACCUCCCCGCUUCCAGCAAAGCCUCCAGCCGCCGCACGUCUCGGGGCCGACUCCUCACAUCCGCUCCACAAACACCUCAAGCACGAACUCAAAGAGUCCGAAAGAGAAGAAACAGCAAAGAAAUAGCAAUUAUAUUCGAUUUAUUUUUCUUUUUCGGGCUAUAUAAAGCCGUUUUAUUUUGUAAAAUGGGGUGGGGGGAUUGAAGAAAAGAAUAUAGAAAGAGAGGUGAUUACCUUUCAGUUGGAUUUAGAGGGUUUUGUUCUUACAUUUUAUUUCGUUUUAUUUCAUUAUUAUCUUUUAUUUCAUUUCUUUAAAAUACUAAUAAGAAAGAAAAAGGGAGACUUACCUUUCGCCGGAGUCAUCAAGCUGGUGUCCCCUCCGUCGGAAUCGGGGCGCGGGCUGAACGGCGGCCAAAGGGUUAAGGAGACCCUAAAAGAAGCAGUUUCUGCUUCAAAGGGAAAGGCAAAAUAUUACCCUAAAUUUGUUUUUUUCUAAAACUUAAAACAGAACAAAGAUGGCGCCGUUUAGUUUGGGGGUUCGCGCAUAUCAACCUUAAAUGGGAGAAUUUCGCAAUAAGUCCUUCCCCUUUGCGCCAUGUUUUAUUAAGCCAGUUAUUUCUUUUUAAUUUGGCCCAGAUGUUUUUACCUUGUUUCAAAUCGGUCCCCAUUGCGGCACAGCGUUUUAAGGAGGCGGAUUAUUUCCAUCUGGG
rnacentral:lncRNA from 1 species